CUAAUUAUUCACAAGACAGGUACAGCCUAGGGAGUGGCACUGCAAGCUUCCCCUACACUGCCCCACCAAUCAGUCCUAUUUGACAUUUACUGCCAGUGGUGGUGGUAG
ensembl:misc_RNA